CGAGCAAUCUGCCCUUCUCAUCGGAAUAAGCGUUGGAAACGACGUCUAAUGCCGAAUACGACCUCCUUUCGCAUGAUCGGAGGUGGAAAGCUCCGGCGGAGAAGGAUGAGCUCGCGGCCUAUCAGCUAGUUGGUGUGGGUAACGGCCCACCAAGGCGACGACGGGUAGCCGGCCUGAGAGGGUGACCGGCCACACUGGGACUGAGACACGGCCCAGACCUCCGUACGGGAGGNAGCG
rnacentral:rRNA from 1 species